rnacentral:rRNA from 1 species
UACGUAGGUGGCAAGCGUUAUCCGGAAUUAUUGGGCGUAAAGAGCGCGCAGGUGGUUGAUUAAGUCUGAUGUGAAAGCCCACGGCUUAACCGUGGAGGGUCAUUGGAAACUGGUCGACUUGAGUGCAGAAGAGGGAAGUGGAAUUCCAUGUGUAGCGGUGAAAUGCGUAGAGAUAUGGAGGAACACCAGUAGCGAAGGCGGCUUCCUGGUCUGUAACUGACACUGAGGCGCGAAAGCGUGGGGAGCAAACAGGAUUAGAUA